rnacentral:lncRNA from 1 species
CGCAAUCAAUGGAUUCUCUUUUCAGAAGACACUCUACGACACCGGAUCUGACGACAACAUAAUGGCCGCAGUCACUUAUCAGCUCCUGCAUGGAACCAUGCCCCUACAACCAAUAUAUUCAGCUCCAGAUGAUUUUCAGGUCAUUGACAUGGGAGAAGACGAAUAUGAUCCACCCACCAUCCUUGGAAGACCGUUCCUCAACACUAUCAAAGCAAUCAUCUACAUUGGAACCGGAGAAGUCCACAUGUACUUCCCCUCUGAGAAGGUACGCAACUAUUUUACUGACCAUAACUAUAUAGUUGAAGACUCUAAGCAGGUCAGGACAAGAAGACGACGCAACCGCAACUAGAGGAGGCAAAUCAUCAAGAACGGAUGGGUAGACUACGAAGGAAAAGUGAUAAGGACUGAAGACAUACAGCUUGAACAGAACUGUCCUGAGGAGACCGAAGCACCAAGUUAGGUGUGGAAAAUGAAGAUAACUAUACACAAAGAGAGGCGCCGCCGGAAUCACCGACUACGCCACCUAGUGAAUCCCAGGACGACUGAGAAAACAGAGAGUCCCGUUCGGAGGACAUAAAAAUACCGAACGCCUUGCCAAGAGGUAAACUUGGUAGUUACCCUUUCCUUUCAAUUAUUCAAUUAUAAUUUGCUUAGUUAAUCAAGUUCAUGCUAUCUUGAAAAGAAAAUAAAAAUGUUAAAUAGUAAGCCCCAUGUGAGUAUGCUCAUAGCAUAAAACCCAUAAGUACAUUCACUGUGGUGGCAUAAAAAUAAAAUAAAUAAGUUUUCAUCUUACAAUAAAAAUAUAUAAAAAUAAUAAUAAUAAUAAUAAUAAGUGUAUGAUCCUGCUAAAUAAAUAAGGAAGUUCAACAUGACGAAGGCUAGAUAUUUAUGCUAACACUUAAUUAGUUCCACAAGCUUUGUUGUCUAUUUGAGCUCCACAGAAUUUAAGAAUCAAGAAGAUUAGCAGACGGAGGACAUUCUAAUCGCUGUCAGAAUGCUGCUGACUUUCAAAUACACCUCUGCCACCUGCUAGCUACAUCAAGAGAAAUUACGUCAAAAUUCAGCUUGGGGGAAAGCACCCCCAUUAUUCUCGCUAAGUAUUUCUACCUAUCUUUAUACUUAUAUUAUGUUAGAAUAUUAAAAUACAUAAACUAUGAAAAAACAAAAUAAAAAUUUUGUGCUUAUAUAUAUAUCAUUUGCUUAGUAUGUUUAAUAAAUAAAUAAAGUGGCUAUGCUAAUCUGAAUCUUAAUAAUAAAACUCUAGCACGGAUAUGAUGAAUAGUUGCUCUGCAGAAUUUGCAAUUUUCAAGUUCCCUCUCAAGUUUAGACAUAACUGUUAUAAUUUAAAGCUUGCUCUAAAUCUAAACUUGUGGGAUGAAAACUUGAUCUGAAAUCUAAGUUGUUAACGGAUAUGAUAUGGGAAGGUUGAGCUGCUGUUUAUCUGUUCCUAGACAUGCUAGAAUUCUGGAGAAUUUUAUCUUUGAAAAAUCUUUAAAAUAUUGCAUGAUGAGUUCCUGUAUGAUGAGAGUUUAAAUUCCUACCACAGCCAUAUAUAGAUGCUUGCUAGACUUUGAGCCACACAUUUACUAUUUACUGCUUAUGAGCAUUGAGUGUGGUCAAGCUGUGUAGACCCUUAGGAACUUGUCAUGUGGUUAAAUCAAGAUUCACUUGCACGUUCACUCAUAUACGCUACUUCUACUCCGGAAGUACCAUCCACAUAUAUAUCCAUCUAUUUCCAUCUCCAGAAUCACCCAAAAAUAUUCUACUCCUAAUCCGGGAGAGAAUAGUCAAAAACAUUUUCCUAUCCCUGUUAUUCCCUGUGAAAUAAAUGCUGCAAAUAUUUUGGUUACUACCACUUGCUAUAUUAUUUAAGGAGAUGAGUGCUCUAAAAAAAGAAGAAGAAAAAAAAAUACGAGAAAAUAAAAAGGGGCAAGUGCCCGGAACCUCGAAAGAAAAGAAAAAGUGAGACGAGAGGUAAAAAUGGACAAGUGUCCGACAGUAGAAUUAGGGGUACAAGAUACCCACCUGAGAGGAAAGAAAAAGAAAAUAUAGAGCAUCUCAUUCUCCCCAAAAAGCUUCAAAGUGCAAGAAAGGUAUGUAUCCCCUCAAAAGAGCAAAAUUAGAAUUAGACUUGCACCAUCAUUAUCACCAUCAUCACCAUACACCAUUCAUUCGCCACACAUGCACAUCUUGAUUUGACUUAUUGACUUGUUUCUCUGGAUCCAUGGUUUGACUAUGCAAUAAAUGUCUUGUAAGUAUGUAUUAGCUGUCUCCCACCUAUGAGCUCCAGAUAUCAGAACCUUAUUAGAGUAGGGUGAGAGAGAAGGCAAUAUCACUAUGCAUCAUACCAAAAAUACCACAUACUUUGAGAGAAGGCAUAUACCAUUACUGCCUUGGUAAGGAUCCAGAAAUACCACAAAAGAGAGAUCUGAGAGAGUCAUACAAGGAAACUCUGAGUUUUAUUUGAAAAUCUGCAAAAACUCCAGAGCUAUAGUUGAUCAAAGAACAAGAUACAUGGUGUUUGACUGACCGUUCUAUCUUUUAACUGCUCAAGACACAAGUGACGGUUACAAGCCCCAUGGUAAAAGGUAAAAUGAGUAAGUUUUAAGUCUUAACAGUUUAUUCUAACUCAGAGAUGAGAUCUUGCUUGAAUGUGUGUGUACUUUUAAGAAAUGAAACCACUGCAGAAACUUUCGAGUUCAUCCUUGCUCAGGGACGAGUAAGAGGUAAGCUUGGGGGAGUUUGUUGACGGUCCUUAAGUAUCAAAUUUAAUUAUCAAAUAAACAAAGAAAAGGAUCCAAAUGAAAUCAACAUCUAGACUUAGGGUUUUAUCUGACAGAAUUCCACGAGUUUUGGUGUUUGUCUAUUUCUGCAGGGGGUUAUCAGGAAAUAAGGAAGAAAGGCCCACAUGUCAGGAUUACAUAGAGAUAUCAACGCACCGCGUAAUUUUCUACCAUCUAGAAGACUCGAGAAGCCACGAGACCGAAGCGGAGGCGAAACGGGGCCAGGACCUGGGCGCCCGCCCAGUUUCCUUGGGCGCCCGCCCACCUGUCGAGCCCAAUCAGGACUCUUUCUCUCGGGAGAUCUCCACCGACCUAUUGGAUCCAGAAUAACAUAGUACCACCUCGCCUAUCGACCCAAAAACACAUAGAAGGGGAGGACUAUAUAACAUGAAGAAAUUAUCAUAGAGAUUGAGGGGUGCCCUCGAAGGAAAACCUCUUCUCUAAUUAAUAUUUCUUUUUAGGCUUAGCAACCAAUGUAAAGUAGAAAUAGAUCUUCUAGUUUCUACUAGAUUGAGAGAGAUAGAGUGGAGGUGUAGAUUGGAGGAAGCCCGGCCUGUCGGUGUCUACUCCAAGCUUGUACCUGCGGGAUCAAGUUCUCCUAACCCGAAGCUUGCUCC